UACGUAGGGUGCGAGCGUUGUCCGGAAUUAUUGGGCGUAAAGAGCUUGUAGGCGGUCUGUCGCGUCUGCUGUGAAAAUCCGGGGCUCAACCCCGGACUUGCAGUGGGUACGGGCAGACUAGAGUGUGGUAGGGGAGACUGGAAUUCCUGGUGGAGCGGUGAAAUGCGCAGAUAUCAGGAGGAACACCCGUAGCGAAGGCGGCACACUGGGCCGAUACUGACGCUGAGGAGCGAAAGCGUGGGGAGCGAACAGG
rnacentral:rRNA from 1 species